GAUGAACGCUGGCGGCGUGCCUAAUACAUGCAAGUCGAGCGAACAGACGAGGAGCUUGCUCCUCUGACGUUAGCGGCGGACGGGUGAGUAACACGUGGAUAACCUACCUAUAAGACUGGGAUAACUUCGGGAAACCGGAGCUCAUACCGGAUAAUAUAUUGAACCGCAUGGUUCAAUAGUGAAAGACGGUUUUGCUGUCACUUAUAGAUGGAUCCGCGCCGCAUUAGCUAGUUGGUAAGGUAACGGCUUACCAAGGCAACGAUGCGUAGCCGACCUGAGAGGGUGAUCGGCCACACUGGAACUGAGACACGGUCCAGACUCCUACGGGAGGCAGCAGUAGGGAAUCUUCCGCAAUGGGCGAAAGCCUGACGGAGCAACGCCGCGUGAGUGAUGAAGGUCUUCGGAUCGUAAAACUCUGUUAUUAGGGAAGAACAAAUGUGUAAGUAACUAUGCACGUCGUGACGGUACCUAAUCAGAAAGCCACGGCUAACUACGUG
rnacentral:rRNA from 1 species